rnacentral:lncRNA from 1 species
GCGGCCGGACCGCCGGCCUCCUCUUCAUCCUCCCGCGUCCUCCCGGGCUCGCGCCGCUGUCACUGGAGCCCGCAUCCUCCGCCUCCCGCCGCCGCCGCGACCCCGCACCGGGAACCAAGCCGGCGCGGAAAACCGCAAGAGCUCGCCGCCUUAGGAAUGCCACUCCACCCCGGCCUCCUUCUCCUGGGACCCCCCUGGGCCCCACCCCCAGGACCUCCCACCUCUGCAUGCCCUGAGUUCGCUUUUCCCAAUGCACCGGGCAGCUUGACUCCACGCCCACCUGACUGGACUCAGAAAACCGAAGAAGUUAGUGAGGGUACAGCAAUAAAUAGGAGGAGCAGAAUUUGAAACAGUAGCAUGCCGGUCCUGCGCCCCGUGAAGGAUGACUCGCCAGAAAGCAAAGGCGCAGCCCUACCUCCGCGAGCUUGGCGCGUGGCCCAGGAGGCUCCGCGAGCCCUUGUACGUAAGGAUCGUGGCGCCCACGCUUGAGAGCAGAGCUCAGUGCAAACUUCCAACAGUUCUUCCAGUUUCCAGGGAAACAAGAUUUGGAGCUGCUGCGUGUUGCAGAGCUGCCUCUCUGCUCCCCACAUGGGACCCCUGUGGCUGGCUGGUCUUGGGGAGGAAGGAAUUAAAGCCACCUCAUCCAUGAAGGG